rnacentral:lncRNA from 1 species
GCCGCAAUGUCUUCCCAAUCUUCUUCAGUUACCACUCUCCCUCUCCCGAAAUCCCUUAUUCUUCUUUUCUCAGCCAAAUCUCUCUCCCUCAAUUCAAUUUGGCAUUCCCUUUCAGACUCAACCCCACCUCCUCCCAUCUUUGCACAUGAGACUGCGUUUCUCAAUUCCAGAUCCAAGAUCAGCUCCACUUCUUCUGGUACUUCAAUAUGAACUAUGAUCAAAACAUUGUCUUGAGAUGCUUUUGGAUUUGAAUAUAUUAUGCAAGUAAUUGAAUUGAGAGGUGUAGUCUGAUGGUGAUCAUGGUGUCACAUGCAGGUCACGUGAACAAACAAGCACAAGAGCAUGGGGUUUGGCCGUUUUGGGUGGCUGGGGUGGUGGUUGGGUUAGAGGGAGGUGGUGGCUGGUGG